rnacentral:rRNA from 1 species
GAUGAACGCUGGCGGCGUGCUUAACACAUGCAAGUCGAACGGUGAAGGCGGAGCUUGCUCUGCUGGAUCAGUGGCGAACGGGUGAGUAACACGUGAGCAAUCUGCCCCUGACUCUGGGAUAAGCGCUGGAAACGGCGUCUAAUACUGGAUACGAGCUGCGAGGGCAUCUUCAGCAGCUGGAAAGAAUUUCGGUCAGGGAUGAGCUCGCGGCCUAUCAGCUUGUUGGUGAGGUAAUGGCUCACCAAGGCGUCGACGGGUAGCCGGCCUGAGAGGGUGACCGGCCACACUGGGACUGAGACACGGCCCAGACUCCUACGGGAGGCAGCAGUGGGGAAUAUUGCACAAUGGGCGAAAGCCUGAUGCAGCAACGCCGCGUGAGGGACGACGGCCUUCGGGUUGUAAACCUCUUUUAGCAGGGAAGAAGCGAAAGUGACGGUACCUGCAGAAAAAGCGCCGGCUAACUACGUG